AUUGAACGCUGGCGGCAUGCUUUACACAUGCAAGUCGAACGGCAGCGCGGGCUUCGGCCUGGCGGCGAGUGGCGAACGGGUGAGUAAUACAUCGGAACGUGCCCAGUAGUGGGGGAUAGCUCGGCGACAGCCGGAUUAAUACCGCAUACGCCCUGAGGGUGAAAGCGGGGGAUCUUCGGACCUCGCGCUCUUGGAGCGGCCGAUGGCAGAUUAGCUAGUUGGUGGGGUAAAGGCCUACCAAGGCGACGAUCUGUAGCUGGUCUGAGAGGACGACCAGCCACACUGGGACUGAGACACGGCCCAGACUCCUACGGGAGGCAGCAGUGGGGAAUUUUGGACAAUGGGCGAAAGCCUGAUCCAGCAAUGCCGCGUGUGUGAUGAAGGCCUUCGGGUUGUAAAGCACUUUUGGCGGGAACGAAAAGGACUGUGCCAAUACCACGGUUCGAUGACGGUACCCGCAGAAUAAGCACCGGCUAACUACGUG
rnacentral:rRNA from 1 species